CGGCGAACGGGUGAGUAACACGUAUUCAACCUACCCAUCAGACUGGAAUAACAUCGAGAAAUCGAUGCUAAUGCCGGAUAGCAGAUGUUUACACAAGUUUACAUCUCUAAAGGAGCGUUUGCUUCGCUGAUGAAUGGGGAUGCGCAGCAUUAGGUAGUUGGUGGAGUAAUAGCCCACCAAGCCAACGAUGCUUAGCCGGCCUGAGAGGGUGAUCGGCCACACUGGAACUGAGACACGGUCCAGACUCCUACGGGAGGCAGCAGUAGGGAAUUUUCGACAAUGGGCGCGAGCCUGAUCGAGCAACACCGCGUGAGGGAUGACGGAUUUCGGUCUGUAAACCUCUGUUAUAAGGGAAGAACAAGCAGGAUAGGAAAUGAUUCUGCCCUGACGGUACCUUAUCAGAAAGCGACGGCUAACUUCGUGCCAGCAGCCGCGGUAAUACGAAGGUCGCAAGCGUUAUCCGGAUUUACUGGGCGUAAAGCGUCCGCAGCUGGUUCACCCAGUCUGAUGUUAAAGACAGAGGCUCAACCUCUGCGCGCAUUGGAUACUAGUGAGCUAGAGUUAUGGAGGGGCACGUGGAAUUCCUAGUGUAUCGGUGGAAUGAGUAGAUAUUAGGAGGAACACCAGUGGCGAAGGCGACUUGCUGGCCAUAUACUGACAGUCAUGGACG
rnacentral:rRNA from 1 species